ensembl:snRNA U6 U6 spliceosomal RNA
GUGCUCACUUCGACAGCACAUAUACUAAAAUUGGAAUGAUACAGAGAAGAUUAGCAUGGCCCCUGUGUGAGGCUGACACGCAAAUAGAUAAGAUUUUAAAAGAUAGG